UUGGAGGGCAAGUCUGGUGCCAGCAGCCGCGGUAAUUCCAGCUCCAAUAGCGUAUAUCAAAGUUGUUGCAGUUAAAAAGCUCGUAGUUGAAUUUCGGGAUCAAGGAAUCGGUCAUGCCUUGGUAUGUACUGGUUUUAUUGGUUCUCACCUUCUAAAGAACCAUAAUGUCAUUUAUUUGAUGUUAUGGGGAAUUAGGACUGUUACCUUGAAAAAAUUAGAGUGUUUAAAGCAAGCUUACGCUUGAAUACAUUAGCAUGGAAUAAUGAAAUAGGACAUCAGAUUCUAUUUUGUUGGUUUCUAGGAUCGAUGUAAUGAUUAAUAGGGAUAGUUGGGGGCAUUAGUAUUCAAUUGUCAGAGGUGAAAUUCUUGGAUUUAUUGAAGACUAACUACUGCGAAAGCAUUUGCCAAGGAUGUUUUCAUUAAUCAAGAACGAAAGUUAGGGGAUCGAAGACGAUCAGAUACCGUCGUAGUCUUAACCAUAAACUAUGCCGACUAGGGAUCGGAUGAUGUUAAUUUUUUAAUGACUCAUUCGGCGCCUUACGGGAAAC
rnacentral:rRNA from 1 species